rnacentral:misc_RNA from 1 species
ACCCUUGUGGAGGAGGACGCCGAAGGUGGGGCUAAUGACUGGGGUGAAGUCGUAACAAGGUAGCCGUACCGGAAGGUGCGGCUGGAUCACCUCCUAACAGGGAGACAACAAAAUGUUUAAUAUUAUUAUUUUGUCACCUUAGGUCGAUCGGUAUCUCACAUUCUUAUUUUUAAGGAUUUUAUUUCCUAAGUUUUUCUAGGUCACACCCAUUUUUUUCCUGGGCCAUUAGCUCAGGUGGUUAGAGCGCACCCCUGAUAAGGGUGAGGUCCCUGGUUCAAGUCCAGGAUGGCCCAUAUCUCUAUGUUGGGGGUAUAGCUCAGUUGGUAGAGCGCCUGCUUUGCAAGCAGGAUGUCAGCGGUUCGAGUCCGCUUACCUCCACUGAUUACCACCUCUUACGUAAUCUGUAUGAAGGAAAAUUUUGAGUUGUGAUCAAUUUCUGAACGAAUCUAGCUUCCUAAUGAAAUCAUUAAGAUGCUGGACUCAUUGAAUUAAUUUCAUUGUUUUCAGAGAACCUUGACAACUGCAUAGAUUAUUUUUUUAAAGACAAUAAGCAUCUUUAAUGAUGCAGAUUUAUUAUUUGUGCGAAUGCAUUAAUAACAAUUCUAUUAAGCUGAUGCUUCAAUUUUUGAAGUUAUUGGUCAAGCUACAAAGGGCUCACGGAGGAUACCUAGGCACACAGAGGCGA